UCGUGGGGCUUCGCCUCCCGGAGCGGCGGAUCACCGGAGCGGACGAGCGGGGGUUUGAUUUUGGCGCAGGGUGGGCGGAGCGGACGGUCGGGGUUCGGGGAGGAGGCGCUCGAGAGUCGAGAGGUUAUUCUGCGCGACGGGUUGGCUUUGGACUUCCGGGUUCAGUUCAGAGUGAUGGAGAGGGAGGUAGGUAGGGUUUGGAGGAAGGGGAAAGGUAGUAAUCAGAGGAAGAGCAACUUCUCUCUGCCGAUCCAGUUCUCUAUUCUUUGAUGAUCCACUAUGUGGUAGCCUAGCUACUUAACCACACUCAUAGGCACGCAGGCCUGGUUGGCCCAGUACGCAACGCACACACUCCAGCCCAACAGGAACCGCCAACUGGCAUCAUUCUUUAACUGCCGCCCAGUCCAGUCCCUCUCCUGGGCCUCCUGCCGGUGGGGUCGCCCUGUAGGCGUGACAUUCUUCCCCCCUUGGGACUCGGCUUGUCCCCCAUCCGUGCUUGCUGGAAAACGACGACGGAGGUCUUCUGGUUCCUCCCAGGUUGCCAGCGACGGUGGCAACUCGCUCCACUGCACCAGAAGUCGCGGGCGCAUCUCCCCCUGCGUCUUGAUGAGCUUGGUUGCCAAAAUCGCCUCAGGGAAGUGUUCUACCUGCAACACAGAGUUGGUUGGUGGAAGGCUCGAACUUACAGAAACGCCUGGACCGAUCGCCUUCUUCAAUUGAGAGACGUGCACCACAGGGUGUAUUUUACUGUCAACCGGCAAUUGGAGCUUGUACGCCACCUUCCCGAUCCGAGCUAUGAUAGGAUACGGCCCGUAAUAUCUGAACGCCAACUUCUGAUAUGGCCGCUGAGCUACUGAUGUCUGAAUGAAUGGUUGAAGCUUCAGGUACACCAGAUCCCCUACUUCAAAAGACCGGUCCGUGUGAUGCUUGUCUGCUUGCUUCUUCAUUCGAUCUUGUGCGUGUUUCAGUUGCUGCUGCAAGUGAUCCAUCAUGACUGCUCUCUCUUGUAACCACGCCGACAGGUCUGGCACUGAGCUCUCCUCCACCUGUGUGACUGCGAAUUCUCGCGGCGGGUGCCCAUAGAUCACUUCAAAAGGAGUGCGCCAUAGCGAGGAGUGAAAAGCUGUAUUGUACCAAUAUUCAGCCAAAAACAGCCAUUUGUUCCAGUUCUUCGGGCACGAGUGCACCGCACACCGUAAGUAUCCUUCUAAACACUGAUUCACCCUCUCGGUUUGCCCAUCAGUCUGUGGAUGGUAAGAUGAGCUCAAUCUCAGCUUGGUUUUGGAUAGCUUAAAUAGUUCCUGCCAAAUUGCACUGGUGAAUAUCCGGUCUCUGUCCGAAAUGAUGGCCAGAGGCAACCCAUGCAACCUGAAAAUGUUCUUCAUGAACACUUCUGCCACGGUCAGCGCUGUGUAAGGGUGUUUCAGGGGUAUGAAAUGAGCAUAUUUCGAGAAUUUAUCCACCACUACGAGAAUUACGUUCUGCCCUCCUGAGGUCGGUAGCCCCUCGAUGAAAUCAAGACACAACUGCCCACGGUCGCUUUGGAAUUGGAAGAGGUUGCAGUAAUCCCGCUGGAGAGAUCCUCUCUGUCUUAGCUCUCUGACAAGUGUCGCAAGAUUUCACGUAUUGUUUGAUCAUGGUCUUCAUGCCUUUCCAAGAGAAGAGGUUUUUGACCCGAUGAUAAGUAGCAUAGAAUCCUGAACGGCCCCCGAUCGCGCUGUCAUGUAAGGCUUUGAUCAGGGCUAACUGAGUUGUUUCAUCUGAGCCAAUCCAAAUGCGCCCUUUGUGCCGAAUCACCCCAUCUUGCAAGGCGUAGUCACUGUCACUGGUUGGAUCCAGCGUUAGUUGUUCCAGUCUGCGCUGAGUCUCCGUGUCCUGACGAUAACUGCUUGCGACGGCCUCGAGCCACGCUGGCCUACAGACUGAGACUGCUGCGAGCUCCCCCUCAUCCCAAUGAUCUCUUCUGGACAACGCAUCGGCUGCUUUGUUGGUGAUGCCCGUUUUGUACUGGAUUUGAAACUGAAGAGCCACGAGCUUGGUGAAAGCUCUUUGUUGAAUUGGCGUGUUCAGCCGCUCGCCUGUCAAGUGGAGCAAGCUCUUUUGAUCCGUGCGCACCAAGAACUCCACGUGUUGCAAAUACGGGCGCCAGUGGUCUACUGCAAGCAUCAGCGCUAGGCAUUUUUUUCAUAAGCAGAGAGUCCAAGGUUGCGUGGGGCGAGAGCCUUGCUCAAGUAGGCCAGGGGAUGAGCAUCCUGCAUAAGCACUACACCCACUCCCGUAGCACUCGCAUCUGUCUCGACCACAAACUUCUUUGUGAAAUCUGGCAAUGCCAGCACCGGGGCCUGAACUAGCGCUUUCUUCAAUUCAGUGAAUGUUGUCUCAGCCGUUGGUGUCCAGGUAAACAAGGUCCCCUUCUUAAGCAUGUCCGUCAGAGGGAGAGAAAUGAUACCAAAGUUUCUGAUGAAUUUACGGUAAUAGCCCGCCAGCCCCAAGAACUCCCUUAACUUACGAACUGAUUCCGGACGCGGCCAAUCACGGACCGACUCAAUUUUGUUGUCAUCCGUCGCCACCCCUUCGCUGCUGAUCUUGUGCCCCAAGUAUAUUAUCUGUUGCUGUGCAAACGAGCACUUCGAGCGUUUGACCUUCAGGCUAUGUUCCAUCAGUGUUUGCAGAACUUGUCUUAACAGCCGCACAUGCUCCUCCAUGGUUGAGGAGUGAAUCAGUAUAUCGUCCAUGAACACCAACACUCCAUGACGGAGUAGGGGUCCCAGCACGAUAUUCAUCCCACCCUGGAAUGUAGGUGGCCCUCCGGUUAGCCCAUAUGGCAACACUCUGAACUGAAAGUGCCCCUGAUGAGUUUUAAAUGCAGUCUUGGGUUCAUCCUCUUCACGGAGCCUGAUCUGAUGAUAGCCCGCCUGAAGGUCUAAUUUGGAGAACCAACGAGACCCUGCCAGUUCGUCCAACAGUUCAUCUAUGAUCGGCAUGGGGUAGGCACUUUUUCACUGUGAUUGCGUUCAAGUGCCGAUAGUCCACGCACAUCCUCCAUGUCAUAUCUUUCUUCUUGACAAGCAACACGGGUGAUGAGUAAGGGCUCGAGCUUGGAACAAUCAACCCAGCCUUCAGCAGCUCUUUUACUUGAGUCUCAAUCUCUGUUUUUUGUUCAGGUGCGUACUUGUAUGGUCGGACGUUGACUGGCUUCACUCCUGGAAUGAUAGGAAUGACAUGAUCCCACUCUCGAUGUGGUGGUAAUGCAUUUGGUUCUUCGAAUACCUCCUGAAAUUCUUGCAACACUGCCCGCACUUCCACUGGAAUAUGCUCAAUAAUCACUUCCUCUCCCACUACAUACAAACAAACUAUGUGAGCCACAACGUUGGUCUCCUCCAGCGCACACAAUUGGCCACAAGUGAUUGGCUGAACUUGCUGAAGCUGAUUUUUCACUCCUGUCAACAGAAUUUGCUGUCCCUGGUGCAUAAACUUGAGUUGCUUUGCUGCCCAAUCGAUCCACAUUGGUCCACAAGACUCCAGUCAAUCAAUCCCCACCACCAUGUCGUAACAACCCAAUGACAAAACCCUGAGAUCGGAGGAGAAUUCAUACCCUUGAGUGUGCCACUUGCAGUUGGGCACCACUCCAGAACAAGUUAAUAUCCCACCAUCAGCUAUCUUGACUGAAACCUUGUUCAUCUGCUGCACUUGCAGGUUCAGCCUCUCUGCCACUAUAUCGCUGAUGAAACUAUGAGAACUCCCGGAGUUGACCAGUAUCAAAAGUUCCUGGCCACCAAUUUGUCCAAGCAGCCGAACAGUGCGUGGUGUUGUUUGCCCCGUAGUAGCCACUUUGGAUAUGCACAUGAGCACAUCAUCAUCUGAGUCCGGUUCCUGCACUGCUGGAGGGUCCUGAUCUGCGUGCAGCAACUCCAGCAACUCCUCUACGACAUGAAGUUGCACGGUAGGCCCGCACUGAUGCCCUUGACCCCAUCUUUCUCCACAUUUGAAGCAAAGUCCACGGGCUCGCCGGUAGUUACGCAGGGCCGCCACACGAUCAUCGCCCCUUCCUUGCCUGUCAGGAGGGUUGGCCGCGUCCAGUGCGCGGCGAUCCUCGGCAGCCGCUGGUGGUCCUGGCAACAUCUGGCGCGCGGGUGGAGCACCAAUCGCCAACAGAGGGCGUUGCGCCGGUGCCCUGUGCUGCUGACCAUCCUGGCGCCUAUACUCCCGGCGCGGCAUCGCUUCCAAAAGCUCCUCCUGCAACGUAGCCAGAGAGAAAGCAGAUUCCAAAUCUUUCGGCUGAUGAAGCAUAGCAACUGCUCGUAUAUCACUCUUAAGACCAUCUAAGAACUGGGUGAUGAAAUAGAUAGGAUCAAAAGCAGGGUUAUGAGCUAAGAUAUGGUGCAUCAACUCCUCAAACUUAGUCAUGUACUCCCCUACCGAGCCUGACUGACGCAGGGUGUUAAACUGCCGAAGAUGAGCUUGAUAUUGCUCGCGGCCAAACUUGGCACACAGAGCUGUGCACAGGGAUUCCCAAGUGAACAAGGCGCUCUGUAUUUCAUGCAGUUGCAGCCAUCUGGCCGCGUUGCCCGUAAAAUUGAGGGUAGCUACACGAACCCAAAGCUCUGGAACAACCCCAUAGACAUCAAAGUACUUUUCACAUCUAGUCUUCCAGAAUUGUGGGUUUUCCCCAUCAAAAGAGGGAAAAUCCAUCUUGGGCAAAGCCCAGUGCGCGUGCUGUGAUGGAUGGGUGUACAACGUGUCCUGAGUAGCCCUUUUCUCCCCAUCUAAACUCACUACUCCACGGAAAUCGACGGAAUUAAUCGAUUGAGAUUGGAACGCACCCUUGCUCGGAGGCGGCGCGAGGGUAGUGACCACCCCCGGUGCCUGGCCCCCGGAAUCGAUGAACUCGCCGUGGCCACCUGGCCCGUGGUGCCCCGGGCUGUCGGAGGUCGUCGGAGCGCCGUGCACCACUCGAUCCGCGGAUGAAGAUGGUGGAUCGGUUAGGGCGGGAUGGAGCACGAUCCGCCCCACCUGCGAGCGAAGCUCGUCCAGUUGAUGCUGCAGAUUGGUGACCGCCGGUCGCCAUAGCUCGAGGGAAGUCUGGAUGGCGUCGAGCCUGGCGUCGUUGGCGAUGCGACUAUCGUUGACCGCCUUCGCCAGCGCGGCGAUUUGCUCCUCCAUCGCUGCCGCCUGAGUCGCCUGUUUGGUGAUGUAGCGGGGCUUGCGGUACGGGUCCUCCAGAUCGCCUGACCUCUGAUACCAAUUGUAACGGACUCGAUCUACUGCAGACUAGAGAUCGGAUCUGGGAAGGGGAUGGAGAGGGAGGUAGGUAGGGUUUGGAGGAAGGGGAAAGGU
rnacentral:lncRNA from 1 species